CUUUCAUUCUAGUGGCCACAAUCAGAGCCUUACUGAACGCACCAUGAGAGGACUGUGUCCUACCUUGUAAAAUCAAGGGUUUUCCCCUAGCCCUGUGAGAAAUCUGUGCUGUGCUCUCUGGUUUCACUUCAGAUUGUCUUAAGUCUUUUGCCUUUUGCUAAAAUCUGUGCUCUAUUUUCCAGCUCAAAACUGAAAGCAUUCCAAAGCUGAGUGAUGCUAGCACAACUUGAAGACAGUCCCCAUGAGCCAACUGAAGAGACCCUCAGAGAGAAGAGAUUCCCAAAUUGUGCCGGAUACUCAGAGAUUAGAGCAUGGUUGGCCAAUGGAAUGUCUCAAGUCCACCAGCUUUAUGGAAUCCCUCAUUUUGUUUUAAUCCCUUGAUGUAGACUUCUAAAUCCUCAUGCAAAUGAAGACUUAAGAAUAGAUCUCAGAGUGAAUAGAGGUCACAGAUGUACCAGAUCUGUCAAGUGCUAAGAAAGCUGGAACACUAUUGUAGUAUCUGUAUACUUUUAAGUUUUACAAAUCUGGAACCAGUGACAUUCUCUUUUUCACAAAGGUAACUGUUUACCACCACAGCCUCGUCUACAUAAUGUCCGUCAAAAGAGAAACUGUUGACAAAUGAACGUUUACACAAGGGGCAGCAUGAA
rnacentral:lncRNA from 1 species